UACAGUAGGAAGAAUGUCCAUUCAAACCCUGGUCCCAUCUGAUCUUAGAAGCUAAACAAGGUCAGACCUGGUUCGUACUUGGACCGGACACUGCUGCGAAUAUCAGGUGCCAGACUGGGG
rnacentral:rRNA from 1 species